rnacentral:rRNA from 1 species
GACGAACGCUGGCGGCAUGCCUAACACAUGCAAGUCGAACGGAACUUGUUGAAUGAAGUUUUCGGAUGGAUUUUAGCAAGUUUAGUGGCGGACGGGUGAGUAACGCGUGAGCAACCUGCCUUUCAGAGGGGGACAACAGUUGGAAACGACUGCUAAUACCGCAUAACGUAUCGGGAUCGCAUGAUCCUGAUACCAAAGAUUUUAUCGCUGAAAGAUGGGCUCGCGUACGAUUAGAUAGUUGGUGAGGUAACGGCUCACCAAGUCGACGAUCGUUAGCCGGACUGAGAGGUUGAACGGCCACAUUGGGACUGAGACACGGCCCAGACUCCUACGGGAGGCAGCAGUGGGGAAUAUUGGGCAAUGGGCGCAAGCCUGACCCAGCAAUGCCGCGUGAAGGAAGACGGUUUUCGGAUUGUAAGCUUCUUUUAAGAGGGACGAUAAUGACGGUACCUCUUGAAUAAGCCACGGCUAACUACGUGCCAGCCGCCGCAGUAAUAC